rnacentral:lncRNA from 1 species
CUCAAGUUGAAUACUUUUUAAGCAUUUUACAUCUUCACUUGAACAGAAUUCCAUGGUGACCAUGAAGCUACUAGUCCUAGUGAUGUGCCUGAUUGGACUUUGUUCCUCCAUUCCUGUGUCUGAGGAACAUGAUCGAGAGGAGCGCUCAGCUAGUGAUGAGAUGUUCAGGGGUAAUGGGCGUGGUUUGGGAGGGUUUUACCGCUAUCAGCCGCCACAGUACCCAUCAUACUUCCCUUAUGCCCAGCCUCCCCAAAGUAACUCCGCCCUGAUGGCCCUCCUGCCCUUCCUAUUGGCCAGACUCGCUGCCACUCCUGCCGCAACUCCUGCUGCAGCUCCCGCCCCCGCCCCAGCUCCUGCCGCAGCCACACCAGCCCCAGCAGCGGGUGGAAAAUGAGAUGGGCGACGCCAGAGGAACCAGAGAGAACUCUGACUCCCAUGUCUCCACCUUGUUUAUUUCAAAUAUGUUGAUAUUAGCUGCUGUUCAAAGCUGAUUAUUCCAUUAUCAAUAAAUGAAUUAAGUUUUAAGAUCCGU